UUUAUGGAGAGUUUGAUCCUGGCUCAGAGUGAACGCUGGCGGCGUGCCUAAUACAUGCAAGUCGAACGAUGAAGCUUCUAGCUUGCUAGAGCGCUGAUUAGUGGCGCACGGGUGAGUAACGCAUAGGUUAUGUGCCUCUUAGUUUGGGAUAGCCAUUGGAAACGAUGAUUAAUACCAGAUACUCCCUACGGGGGAAAGAUUUAUCGCUAAGAGAUCAGCCUAUGUCCUAUCAGCUUGUUGGUAAGGUAAUGGCUUACCAAGGCUAUGACGGGUAUCCGGCCUGAGAGGGUGAACGGACACACUGGAACUGAGACACGGUCCAGACUCCUACGGGAGGCAGCAGUAGGGAAUAUUGCUCAAUGGGGGAAACCCUGAAGCAGCAACGCCGCGUGGAGGAUGAAGGUUUUAGGAUUGUAAACUCCUUUUGUUAGAGAAGAUAAUGACGGUAUCUAACGAAUAAGCACCGGCUAACUCCGUGCCAGCAGCCGCGGUAAUACGGAGGGUGCAAGCGUUACUCGGAAUCACUGGGCGUAAAGAGCGCGUAGGCGGGAUAGUCAGUCAGGUGUGAAAUCCUAUGGCUUAACCAUAGAACUGCAUUUGAAACUACUAUUCUAGAGUGUGGGAGAGGUAGGUGGAAUUCUUGGUGUAGGGGUAAAAUCCGUAGAGAUCAAGAGGAAUACUCAUUGCGAAGGCGACCUGCUAGAACAUUACUGACGCUGAUUGCGCGAAAGCGUGGGGAGCAAACAGGAUUAGAUACCCUGGUAGUCCACGCCCUAAACGAUGGAUGCUAGUUGUUGGAGGGCUUAGUCUCUCCAGUAAUGCAGCUAACGCAUUAAGCAUCCCGCCUGGGGAGUACGGUCGCAAGAUUAAAACUCAAAGGAAUAGACGGGGACCCGCACAAGCGGUGGAGCAUGUGGUUUAAUUCGAAGAUACACGAAGAACCUUACCUAGGCUUGACAUUGAGAGAAUCCGCUAGAAAUAGUGGAGUGUCUAGCUUGCUAGACCUUGAAAACAGGUGCUGCACGGCUGUCGUCAGCUCGUGUCGUGAGAUGUUGGGUUAAGUCCCGCAACGAGCGCAACCCCCUUUCUUAGUUGCUAACAGGUCAUGCUGAGAACUCUAAGGAUACUGCCUCCGUAAGGAGGAGGAAGGUGGGGACGACGUCAAGUCAUCAUGGCCCUUACGCCUAGGGCUACACACGUGCUACAAUGGGGUGCACAAAGAGAAGCAAUACUGCGAAGUGGAGCCAAUCUUCAAAACGCCUCUCAGUUCGGAUUGUAGGCUGCAACUCGCCUGCAUGAAGCUGGAAUCGCUAGUAAUCGCAAAUCAGCCAUGUUGCGGUGAAUACGUUCCCGGGUCUUGUACUCACCGCCCGUCACACCAUGGGAGUUGUGUUUGCCUUAAGUCAGGAUGCUAAAUCAGCUACUGCCCACGGCACACACAGCGACUGGGGUGAAGUCGUAACAAGGUAACCGUAGGUGAACCUGCGGUUGGAUCACCUCCUUUCUAGA
rnacentral:rRNA from 1 species